CAGUUUCCAUGCACCCCUUAUGCCCUCUCCCAUACAACCUCCUCCACUAUCAAUAUCCCUCACCACAGCGAUGUAUUUGUUACACUAACAAAGCUACACUGAAACAUCAUCAAAUCACCUAAAGUCCACAGUUCACAUUAGAACUCACUGUUGGUGUUAUACGGUCCAUGGGUUUUGACAAAUGCAUAACAUCUUGUAUCCACCACUGAAGUAUCACACAGAAUAGUUUCAUUGCCCUAAAAAUCCUCUGUGCUCUGCCUAUUGAUCCCUCUCUCCCCCAACUCCUGGCAACGACCUUAAAGACUUUCCCAAAAUUUGUUGAACAUUUUUGGUAAUAGCUUAUAUAUAUAUAUAUAUAAAUAAACACCUUCUAACCAUCAGGCACUCUUCUAAGUGUGUUUACAUAUAUAAUCUCAUUUAAACCUCACAGAAACUCACACAUAAAUACUGUUUUUAUUCCUGUUUUAUAGACAAGGAAGCCAAAGUGCAGAGUUUAAGUUUCCUCUCCCAAAGGAGCAUAGCCAGUGGGCAGAUCACCUGAGGUCAGAAGUUUGAGACCAAUCUGACCAACACGGAGAAAACUCAUCUCUAUUAAAAAUACAAAAUUAGCUGGGCAUGGUGGCACAUGCCUAUAAUCCCAGCUACUUGGGAGG
rnacentral:lncRNA from 1 species